rnacentral:rRNA from 1 species
CCUACGGGGUGCAGCAGUGAGGAAUAUUGGUCAAUGGACGCAAGUCUGAACCAGCCAUGCCGCGUGCAGGAAGACGGCUCUAUGAGUUGUAAACUGCUUUUGUACGAGGGUAAACGCAGAUACGCGUAUCUGUCUGAAAGUAUCGUACGAAUAAGGAUCGGCUAACUCCGUGCCAGCAGCCGCGGUAAUACGGAGGAUUCAAGCGUUAUCCGGAUUUAUUGGGUUUAAAGGGUGCGUAGGCGGUCGGAUAAGUUAGAGGUGAAAUCCCGAGGCUCAACUUCGGAAGUGCCUCUGAUACUGUUCGGCUUGAGAGUAGUUGCGGUAGGCGGAAUGUAUGGUGUAGCGGGGAAAUGCUUAGAGAUCAUACAGAACACCGAUUGCGAAGGCAGCUUACCAAGCUACUUCUGACGUUGAGGCACGAAAGCGUGGGGAGCAAACAGGAUUAGAUACCCGGGUAGUC